rnacentral:rRNA from 1 species
CCUAUGGGUGGCAGCAGUGGGGAAUAUUGGGCAAUGGGCGCAAGCCUGACCCAGCAACGCCGCGUGAAGGAAGAAGGCUUUCGGGUUGUAAACUUCUUUUAAGGGGGAAGAGCAGAAGACGGUACCCCUUGAAUAAGCCACGGCUAACUACGUGCGAGCAGCCGCGGGAAUACGUAGGUGGCAAGCGUUGUCCGGAUUUACUGGGUGUAAAGGGCGUGCAGCCGGAGAGACAAGUCAGAUGUGAAAUCUACGGGCUCAACCGGUGAACUGCAUUUGAAACUGUUUCUCUUGAGUAUCGGAGAGGUAAGCGGAAGUCCUUGUGUAGCGGUGAAAUGCGUAGAUAUAAGGAAGAACACCAGUGGCGAAGGCGGAUUACUGGACGAUAACUGACGGUGAGGCGCGAAAGCGUGGGGAGCAAACAGGAUUAGAUACCCUUGUAGUC